rnacentral:rRNA from 1 species
UACGUAGGGGGCGAGCGUUGUCCGGAUUUAUUGGGCGUAAAGAGCGUGUAGGCGGCCAGGUAGGUCUGCUGUGAAAACUCGAGGCUCAACCUCGAGACGUCGGCGGAAACCAUCUGGCUAGAGUCCGGAAGAGGAGAGUGGAAUUCCUGGUGUAGCGGUGGAAUGCGUAGAUAUCAGGAAGAACACCGGUGGCGAAGGCGGCUCGCUGGGCCAGAUCCGACACUCAUCCGCGAAAGCGUGGGGAGCAAACAGG